rnacentral:lncRNA from 1 species
UGUAUCUGUCUUUUUAAUUAUUAUCUUUUCUUUCUUGAUUUACAUAUAACAAAGAGUAUACCUUAAAAAUUGUUUAUUUUAUUUUGAGGUUUUAUUUGUAAGAGGAAGGCUAAAACUAACAUCAUGUAGGGGUUUAUCACACAAACAAAACUGCAGACGGCAUUGCAAAAACGAGAAUUAAAACAAAACUGCAACUGGUGAAGGCUACUCGUGCAACACUUCAAACUAUUUUAACGAGUUUUACAUGGUGAGCAAGAACUGCUUAACCGAAGCCCCAAAGACGACCUACGAUUUUUUUAUGGGGUUCGUAUUACUCAGUUCUGUGAACUGGUUCUUCUUUAUUCGUUUCUUUCGUUAUUCAUUGGGUUGUGGUGGUUUUUUUUUUCGAUUAAUGAAUUUUGGAUGUCACAUACUAUUAGUUCUUCCACCUUUAUUUUAACCAACAAAC